GUCGAGUGGCGGACGGGUGAGUAACGCGUAGGAAUCUACCAAAUAGCGGGGGAUAGCCCGGUGAAAACCGGAUUAAUACCGCAUACGUCCUAAGGGAGAAAGGGUGCGACUUCUUCGGAAAGCACUCGUUGUCAGAUGAACCUGCGUCGGAUUAGCUAGUUGGUGGGGUAAAGGCCUACCAAGGCGACGAUCCGUAGCUGGUCUGAGAGGAUGACCAGCCACACUGGGACUGAGACACGGCCCAGACUCC
rnacentral:rRNA from 1 species